UCGUACAACUGAGGCGCAAAGGCUGUCGCUGACCCUCAAGGGUCGUGCACGCUCGAGUGCUCUCACACAAUCCAUCUCACCUUUGUGCAUCACCGCGUGGGUCCCCUUUGCGGGAGGGCUCGCGUUUUCACAUAAAACUCGAUACUGUGUAGAAUGUUUCUUUUGCGGUCACACGCAAUCAAUA
rnacentral:misc_RNA from 1 species